rnacentral:rRNA from 1 species
UACGGGGGGGGCAAGCGUUGUUCGGAAUUACUGGGCGUAAAGGGCGCGUAGGCGGUGUGUCAAGUCAGGCGUGAAAGCCCCGGGCUCAACCUGGGAACCGCGCUUGAGACUGGCACGCUCGAGUUCGGGAGAGGAUGGUGGAAUUCCCAGUGUAGAGGUGAAAUUCGUAGAUAUUGGGAAGAACACCGGUGGCGAAGGCGCUCUGCUAGGCCGCAACUGACACUGAGGGACGAAAGCCAGGGGAGCGAACGGG